GACGAACGCUGGCGGCGUGCUUAACACAUGCAAGUCGAACGGAAAGGCCCUGCUUUUGUGGGGUGCUCGAGUGGCGAACGGGUGAGUAACACGUGAGUAACCUGCCCUUGACUUUGGGAUAACUUCAGGAAACUGGGGCUAAUACCGGAUAGGAGCUCCUGCUGCAUGGAGGGGGUUGGAAAGUUUCGGCGGUUGGGGAUGGACUCGCGGCUUAUCAGCUUGUUGGUGGGGUAGUGGCUUACCAAGGCUUUGACGGGUAGCCGGCCUGAGAGGGUGACCGGCCACAUUGGGACUGAGAUACGGCUCAGACUCCUACGGUAGGCAGCAGUGGGGAAUAUUGCACAAUGGGCGGAAGCCUGAUGCAGCAACGCCGCGUGCGGGAUGACGGCCUUCGGGUUGUAAACCGCUUUCGCCUGUGACGAAGCGUGAGUGACGGUAAUGGGUAAAGAAGCACCGGCUAACUACGUG
rnacentral:rRNA from 1 species